rnacentral:rRNA from 1 species
CAAUAGCGUAUAUUAAAGUUGUUGCAGUUAAAAAGCUCGUAGUUGAAUUUUUGCUUGCCGCCGAUGUCGGAACUUCCGUACGUUCGGCGGCGUGCAUCCUUGGGUGGAACCUGUGUGGCAUUAGGUUGUCGUGCAGGGGAUGCUCAUCGUUUACUGUGAAAAAAUUAGAGUGUUCAAAGCAGGCUUACGCCGUUGAAUAUAUUAGCAUGGAAUAAUAAGAUAGGACCUUGGUACUAUUUUGUUGGUUUGCGCACCGAGGUAAUGAUUAACAGGGACAGUUGGGGGUAUUCGUAUUCCAUUGUCAGAGGUGAAAUUCUUGGAUUUCUGGAAGACGAACUACUGCGAAANCANNNACGAAGGAUGUUUUCAUNAA